GCUCGGGUGGCGAAACCGGUAGACGCGAGGGACUUAAAAUCCCUUGGGAUAAACUCCCAUGCGGGUUCGAUCCCCGCCCCGAGCA
rnacentral:tRNA from 1 species